AAGCUGAAUAAACCGGAUUAAAGGAGCAGAGAGGAGCUCCUGCUGCUGCUCCUCCUGCACCGGAGAAACAGACUGAGCCGAAUAUUGCUGGAGGAGAUGAAUCAGUGAAUAAACAGCUGUUAUUAGCUGUUUUUUGAUUGAAAGAAGAGUAUCCUCAGAAAGAAGAGGAUAGAGAUAGAGGUGAAUGUCAGCAGGCAGGAGGAGAUCUGGAGGACAGUGUUCAGGCACGAGCUACCAGUAAAGAGUGGAUACAGAAAAGCUUGGACCCCAAAAUGUCUUGAAAAUGAAGCCGUCGUUUUGGGUUCAGUCGGUGGUGGUUCGUCGGUACCAGAAUCUGGCUCUGAAGUCGUCGCUGCAGGUCAUGAAGCCGGGGUUGGUGGGUGAGUGGACGAUGCAGCGGACGAUGUUGUUGUGUCCGAGGCUCAGCAGGUUCUUGCGCUCGGCCGUGCGAGAGUCCCAGCAGCACAGGCUGACGGUGCGCUCGUCCGGCAGCAGGAUAUAAUCCUCCGUGUGAUUAAACACGCCCUGAGUACGGUGCGUCUGACGCCCACUCAGACCCGCGCCUGCAGUACAACACACACCAGGACAGAGAUGCUCUGUUCCUGAUGUUGCUCAGGCUGGAUCUCUACUGCUGUACAUACAGACGUUUAAACUGAGAAUAUUGUACUGAGUUUAAAUGGGAGAUUUAAUAAAGGAAAUAAAUUAACUAAAUAAAGUG